GACGAACGCUGGCGGCGUGCUUAACACAUGCAAGUCGAACGGAAAGGCCUCUUUCGGGGGGUACUCGAGUGGCGAACGGGUGAGUAACACGUGAGUAACCUGCCCUUGACUUUGGGAUAACUUCAGGAAACUGGGGCUAAUACCGGAUAGGAGCUCCUGCUGCAUGGUGUGGGUUGGAAAGUUUCGGCGGUUGGGGAUGGACUCGCGGCUUAUCAGCUUGUUGGUGGGGUAGUGGCUUACCAAGGCUUUGACGGGUAGCCGGCCUGAGAGGGUGACCGGCCACAUUGGGACUGAGAUACGGCCCAGACUCCUACGGGAGGCAGCAGUGGGGAAUAUUGCACAAGGGGUGGAAGCCUGAUGCAGCAACGCCGUGGGCGGGAUGACGGCCUUCGGGUUGUAAACCGCUUUCGCUCAUGACGAAGCUUUGUGUGACGGUAGUGGGUAAAGAAGCACCGGCUAACUACGUG
rnacentral:rRNA from 1 species